UGCGUAACAGCUCACUGGUCGAGUGGACAUGCGCCGACAAUACACGGGGCUAAGCUGGACACCGAAGCGGCGGGAUUUUGAUUUUCAGAAUCGGUAGGGGAGCUUCCCAUGGGCGGAGAAGCCGGAGGGCGACCGACGGUGGAGCGCAUGGGAGUGAGAAUGCUGGCAUGAGUAGCGAGAGACGAGAGAGUAACUCGUCCGCCGUGAACCCGAGGUUUCCUGGGCAAGGCUAAUCCUCCCAGGGUCAGUCGGGGGCUAAGGCGAGGCCGGUAGGCGUAGCCGACGCGCAGCAGGCAGACAUUCCUGCACCGCGCACGCGGCGCUACGACCGACGGGGCGACGGAUGGGGGUGGCUCGGCGGGGUUCUGGACGUCCCCGUGAUGGAGCGCGGCCCGCGGACCAGGGAAAUCCGGUCCGCAGAAGGGCGAGGCUCCGGACGAAGCGACUGAGCGAAGCGAGUGAGCCCGAGGUCCCUAGAAAAACCCCUAGGCAGGCGCGUGCGCGCCCGUACCGCAAACCGACACAGGUGGGUGGGUAGAACAUACCGAGGCGAUCGGGUCAACCAUGGUCAAGGAACUCGGCACAAUGGCCCCGUAACUUCGGGAGAAGGGGUGCCCGCGCGUACGUGAACGGACUUGCUCCGGGAGCGGAGGCGGGCCGCAGUGGAGAGGCCCAAGCGACUGUUUACCAAAAACACAGGACUCUGCAGAAGCCGCAAGGCGACGUAUAGGGUCUGACGCCUGCCCGGUGCCGGAAGGUCACGCGGAGGAGUUAGCGCAUCGCGCGAAGCCCCGAAGCCAAGCCCCGGUAAACGGCGGCCGUAACUAUAACGGUCCUAAGGUAGCGAAAUUCCUUGUCGGGUAAGUUCCGACCUGCACGAAAGGCGCAACGACUUGGGCGCUGUCUCGACCAUGGACCCGGUGAAAUUGCACUGGUCGUGAAGAUGCGACUUACCCGCGGAAGGACGGAAAGACCCCGUGAACCUUCACUGCAGCUUGGCAUUGGCCGCUGGUCCCGCGUGUAGAGGAUAGGCAGGAGGCAUCGAUCCGGAGGCGCCAGCCCCCGGGGAGCCGCCCUUGGAAUACUGCCCUCGCGCGACCGGCGUCCUAACCCGAGGCCGUCAACCGGCUCGGGGACCGUGCCAGGCGGGCAGUUUGACUGGGGCGGUCGCCUCCUAAAGGGUAACGGAGGCGCGCGAAGGUCCGCUCGGGACGGUCGGCAACCGUCCUUUUGAAUGCAAGAGUACAAGCGGGCUUGACUGCGAGGCCCACAAGCCGAGCAGGUGCGAAAGCAGGCUCUAGUGAUCCGGCGGCCCCGAGUGGGUGGGCCGUCGCUCAACGGAUAAAAGGUACUCCGGGGAUAACAGGCUGAUCUUGCCCAAGAGUCCACAUCGACGGCAAGGUUUGGCACCUCGAUGUCGGCUCAUCGCAUCCUGGGGCUGGAGCAGGUCCCAAGGGUACGGCUGUUCGCCGUUUAAAGCGGUACGCGAGCUGGGUUCAGAACGUCGUGAGACAGUUCGGUCCCUAUCCUCCGUGGGCGCAGGAGAAUCGAUGGAGGCUGCCCCCAGUACGAGAGGACCGGGGUGGACGCACCUCCGGUGAACCGGUUGUCGACCAACGGCACGGCCGGGUAGCCGCGUGCGGCGCGGAUAACCGCUGAAGGCAUCUAAGCGGGAAGCCGUUCCAGGGAUUAGUUCUCCUUCCGGUAAGGGCCCAGGUAGACUACCUGGUCGAUAGGGCAGGUGCAAGGACGGCAACGUCCUCAGCCGAGCCGCACUAAUCGCCCGAGCUCUUCCGGAA
rnacentral:rRNA from 1 species